rfam:Felis catus isolate Cinnamon breed Abyssinian chromosome C1, whole genome shotgun sequence.
ACCUGGCUGGCUCAAUCCCUAGAGCAUGUGACUUUUGAUCUCAGGAUUGUGAGUUCAAGCUCCAUGUUGGGUA